AACACAGCAUAGGAGCCUCUUUGAGGAACAGUGCCUUUGCUUGCUUUUAUUUUUUUAAAAAGUUUUACUUUAUCAUAGUUUUAACUGUAUGAGCAUGUUCAUAUAAAAAAAAAGUCUACAGGUGCACGCAGAGGGUCCAGUCCUUCCUCCCAAUAAAGUAAGUAAAAAAGUUCAUGAUGGCUUUAAUAGGACGAGGAUUUAAUAGGACCAGGAUAGGCCCUGAAGGGGAGACAUAGUAUGCAUCUGUGAAUUAGUUAGGUACACUGUGACGAGGUCUACCAAUCCUGCACUGGGCCAACAAGGACGGACCAAUCACUGUGGGCCCAGGAAGCAACGCCCCCUUUUCCCUGCUGCGCAUGCUCCAGGUGGAAGAGCCAGAUAAAAGGAGGCAGCCCAGCUCAGUUGGGGUUGGCUGAGGAGAAGGAAGGAUGCGUACUACAGAGGUGCCUGCGAUGCUCCAGGUGGUAGAGCCCAAGGACAUGGACUACGCUGCAGGUGACUCAUGGACUGCAGAGACAAGCCACCACCAGAUGAGGAGGUGCCCAGGAUGCAACUUGUGAAGAAACUUAUGACAAGGGUGAGAUUUGGAAUACUGUGGGGCCAGCUAAAAGGCUGCAAGUGGCAGAUGGGCAUGAUGAACAAAUAACUCCCUCCAAACACCUAAUCUUCUUCAAGGGACUGGCAUCUCCCAAACCCUCCGUGUGCUGCAAAUCCUGCUAAUAGUCUCCACUGUCUCACCCUUGCAUGCGGUGGACUGUAGAAAAUGAAGUCAGAGAACCAAGUCGCUAUAAUGGGAGUGUGGCUCUGUAAAUUAGGGCUUGUCUACAUUACUCGCUGGAUCGACGGUCUCCUGCCUGUAGUGUCAAUUUAUAUCCAGAAAUGUAGUCUCUAGUUGCUACCACAUUAAGUAGCAGCAAUAUGUUGUAGAGUGACUACAAUAAAUUGCCUUUGGUCUAAACUCUAUUAUUUUCUAACACAUGUUAAAUAUAAACUCUCUUGCAUC